rnacentral:tRNA from 1 species
GGACUUGUGGCUCAAAAGUGUAGGGCGCCGGCCUCAUAUGCUGGAGGUGGCAGGUUCAAACCCAGCCCCAGCCA